GAUGAACGCUAGCGGCAGGCUUAACACAUGCAAGUCGAGGGGUAUAGGUUUUCGGACCUAGAGACCGGCGCACGGGUGCGUAACGCGUAUGCAAUCUACCUUUCACAGAGGGAUAGCCCAGAGAAAUUUGGAUUAAUACCUCAUAGUAUAGCAGUUUCGCAUGAAACCACUAUUAAAGUAUCAACGGUGAAAGAUGAGCAUGCGUCCCAUUAGCUAGAUGGUAAGGUAACGGCUUACCAUGGCUACGAUGGGUAGGGGUCCUGAGAGGGAGAUACCCCACACAGGUACUGAGACACGGACCAGACUCCUACGGGAGGCAGCAGUGAGGAAUAUUGGUCAAUGGACGCAAGUCUGAGCCAGCCAUGCCGCGUGCAGGAUGACGGUCCUAUGGAUUGUAAACUGCUUUUGUACGAGAAGAAACAACAUUACGUGUAAUGUCUUGACGGUAUCGUAAGAAUAAGGAUCGGCUAACUCCGUGCCAGCCGCCGCCGUAAUAC
rnacentral:rRNA from 1 species